rnacentral:rRNA from 1 species
UACGUAGGCAGCAAGCGUUGUUCGGAAUUACUGGGCGUAAAGAGUGUGUAGGCGGUGUUCUAAGUCUGUCGUGAAAUCUCCCGGCUUAACUGGGAGGGUGCGGCGGAAACUGGAAUGCUAGAGGAUGGGAGAGGUAAGCGGAAUUCCUGGUGUAGCGGUGAAAUGCGUAGAUAUCUGGAGGAACACCGGUGGCGAAGGCGGCAUCCUGGACCGGCAUUGACGCUGAGGCGCGAAAGCCAGGGGAGCAAACGGG